rnacentral:lncRNA from 1 species
AAUGAAGUCAAUAUAUUGUAAUAGCUUGAAAUUCUUCACCUUUACAUAGUAGUAAACAAAGCAGAAGAUGCUGCAACUAUGAAAUACUAGCAAAUUUGAAAUUCUUCACCUUUACAUAAACCUUGUGCCGCAAGGCGAUUUCAUCCACCAAUCAGCAGAAAUGGUUUAAUGCAUACGCGUAAGGGACGUCCUAGAAAUGCCAUAUGCCUAUCCUAAAACUCACAAAUUCAUAUUUACAGAAAUAUAGAAUGAGGAGUAGACAAUCAUAAACUAAACAAAAGGAAAGACUAGUAGAUAUUGUACCUAGUGGAGUGCCCAACAAAGAACUAGGCAACAAAUUGGAUUAGAGAACAGAUGUAUCAACAGUCAUGCAUCUUGACCAGAAAAAGAAGCUGGAACUGGAAGAAUAAAGAGCUGCAACUGUACAAAUCUGGUCCAACUUCCAAUUUAUACUAAAAAGAAUUUAACAAAUAUUGAGGAGACUUCAGUACCUUUACCAACUCAUAGUAGAAUUAGUUAUAUUCUCAUAGACAAAGGUGACUACAACGUUGAGAGGUCGUGAUUUAACUCCGUUGAAUAGUUGUACUAGACCAUGCAAUAACUACGGCAUGGUCUUUACUAUAGUCAUUCUUUCUACUGCUACGGCUCUAGGAGAGCAUAGAAGGCAAAUGCCUAUUCCCCUCUCUCUAAAAA